rnacentral:rRNA from 1 species
UGGGGGGCCUUACGGCCCGAAUCCGGUGAUCCGUGGUGCCGAGAAAAGCUUCGGCGUCAGGCGCGUUGCCGCCCGUACCCCAAACCGACACUGGUGGUCAGGUAGAGAAUACCAAAGCGAUCGAGCGAAUCCUGGUCAAGGAACUCGGCAAAUUGCUCCCGUGCCUUCGGCAUAAGGGAGACCCCCUGCGGUGAUGAGCGGCGGGGGGUGGCACAGGCCAGGGGGUAGCGACUGUUUACCAAAAACACAGGAGCGUGCGAAGGCGCAAGCCGCUGUAUACGCUCUGACGCCUGCCCGGUGCCGGAAGGUUAAGAGGAUCCGUCAGCUUUCUGCGAAGCGGUGAAUUCAAGCCCCGGUAAACGGCGGUGGUAACUAUAACCAUCCUAAGGUAGCGAAAUUCCUUGUCGGGUAAGUUCCGACCUGCACGAAUGGCGUAACGACUUCCCCACUGUCUCGACCAGGAGCUCGGCGAAAUUGCAGUACGAGUAAAGAUGCUCGUUAAGCGCAGAAGGACGAAAAGACCCCGGGACCUUUACUAUACCUUGGUAUUGGCAUUAGGCGCGGAUUGUGUAGCAUAGGCGGGAGGCUUCGAGGCGGGUGCGCCAGCAUCCGCGGAGCCGCAAGGUGAAAUACCGCUCUGUUCUCGUUUGAUGUCUAACCUCGAACAGUCAUCCUGUUCAGGGACAGUGCCUGGCGGGUAGUUCAACUGGGGCGGUUGCCUCCCAAAGAGUAACGGAGGCGCUCAAAGGUCCGCUCGGCCCGGUUGGCAAUCGGGUGUCGAGUGUAAUCGCACAAGCGGGCUUGACUGCGAGAUCGACGGAUCGAGCAGGGACGAAAGUCGGAGAUAGUGAUCCGGUGCCGGCGCACGGGCGCGGCAUCGCUCAACGGAUAAAAGGUACCCCGGGGAUAACAGGCUGAUCAUUCCCAAGAGUCCAUAUCGACGGGAUGGUUUGGCACCUCGAUGUCGGCUCGUCGCAUCCUGGGGCUGGAGCAGGUCCCAAGGGUUCGGCUGUUCGCCGAUCAAAGCGGCACGCGAGCUGGGUUCAGAACGUCGUGAGACAGUUUGGUCUCUAUCCUCUGCGCUCGUUGGAAUCUUGAGGAGGCCUGCCCAUAGUACGAGAGGACCUGGGUGGACGAACCUCUGGUAUGCCGGUCGUCACGCCAGUGGCGCGGCCGGUUGGCUACGUUCGGAAGGGAUAACCGCUGAAAGCAUCUAAGCGGGAAGCCUUCUCCAAGAUAAGGAUUCCAUGCGGCCCCGAGCCGCUGAAGACCCCAUGCAGAACACCUGGUCGAUAGGCCGGACGUGGAAGCCCCGCGAGGGGUGGAGCCGACCGGUACUAAUGGUCGAGAGGC